GACGAACGCUGGCGGCGUGCUUAACACAUGCAAGUCGAACGAAAAGAGGGAAAGAGCUUGCUCUUUCCGGAAUUGAGUGGCAAACGGGUGAGUAACACGUAAACAACCUGCCUUCAGGAUGGGGACAACAGACGGAAACGACUGCUAAUACCGAAUAAGUUCCAAGGGCCGCAUGGUCCAUGGAGGAAAAUGUGGCCUCUACUUGUAAGCUAUCGCCUGAAGAGGGGUUUGCGUCUGAUUAGCUGGUUGGAGGGGUAACGGCCCAUCAAGGCGACGAUCAGUAGCCGGUCUGAGAGGAUGAACGGCCACACUGGAAUUGAGACACGGUCCAGACUCCUACGGGAGGCAGCAGUGGGGAAUCUUCCGCAAUGGGCGAAAGCCUGGCGGAGCAACGCCGCGUGAGUGAUGACGGCCUUCGGGUUGUAAAACUCUGUGUUCCGGGACGAAAAGGCAGAGUGCGAAGAACAAACUGCAUUGACGGUACCGGAAAAGCAAGCCACGGCUAACUACGUG
rnacentral:rRNA from 1 species